CUUUUUGACUCGUUUUCAAAAAGAGACAAACAGGGCAUUUUUUAAAAUUAGGAAAUUUUGCCACUGAUGAGUACCUUUUUAUCUUUGAGAUCUUUCAGUCUUUCUAUUAAAAGAGAAUUUUAUAUAUAUCAGCGGGAAUUUAGGAUCGCUAGGGAGUUGCAAAAUGAAAAUAUCAAAAAAAUACUUCAAAUCUUCUACUUUAUUGAUUAUGCAUGCAGCUCGGUUGUCUCACCUUGCCUUCGGUACACCAAAGACGCUGUGGUUUCAGAGUAAAGAGUGAAACAACAGGGCUGGAAGGUUUCUCGCGAAUUGUGGUAAUAAAUGCUUCCUUCGUGGAAGAACUACGUUUAUUGCUUAAAGUUUUCCCACACUUUCCUUUAUGUCAGGUUUUGGCGUGGAAUACAAUGAAAUUACAACAACGCGGUCGUGUAGAUGAGCUGUUAUGGCGAAGACGACUCGACGAACGAAGAAGGACAGCGCCCAUUUCGCUGCAAACUUUCGAGGGUGACUAUUUUGAGAAAAACAGCUGAUUGGUGAGCGGUUUUGUGGUAAAUUUAGAGAGUGAUGUUUGGCUGCCUGCAGUUUGUGUUAAUUACAUGACAACAUGAUGAUGGUCAAGAAAAUAAAAAUGCAAGCAUUGAUAGCAUAAGCUCUAAGCUCCACCUCAGAAGGAAUGCCACUUCUCAGUUGCUGUUUAUGGUAAUCAAGUUGAGAUGUGGAAGAAGAUUGAGUACUCUCUGUGCAAUAAAAGGUAAGUGGGCUCCUGGGUUGGCAUAGAGGAACUGCUCACCACUGGAGAUGGCAGCAUUUUGGUACAAAGACUUGUAGAAUUUAGAGUGGAAAGGAAAUUAUGUGUCAAAGAGAAUUUUAGUGGCAAAUGGCACCUUGAUAAGCCCUUGAGGUCAUGAUUUGGUGAAAAGUUAGCCAGGGAAGCUUGGAGUUAUUUUUGUGAGAAAUGAAAGUCUAUUCUCAUUGUUCAAAGACAGUGCAAUGUAAAAGCUCCAAUAUCAAGUGCAAAUUAGGGUAUAGCAACUCUGGUUUCUUUAGAUUGCAAUGUGAAUAACUCUUGUUUACCUCCAGAAUUGUUAACGUCAUGUACAGUGGGAACUUAAUUGGAAUACUGCAUUUAACACAAAACAGUUUGUUUUUGUUAAGAGGUAAGUACAAAGGGAAGUCUACAGCCUAUGCCUUUGGUAACCUCUCAGCAGGUGUACGAUACCUGCAUGUACAUGUACCUAUCAGGUAACUAUAACUCAAUUGGGUUAUACUCAGUUGUUCACUGCAAAUUGAUGGGGUUUGUAAUUAUUGAGUGCUUGGGAGGCAAGUAUGCAGCCAUGUGUAAGAACUAAUGGCAUGGAUUGGAGUAGUGUGUAAAACAAACAUUGUAGUUCAUUGUGAAAAGAGUAGAUCAACAGGUAUGCUGACCAUGGUGACAUGUUUUUAUCCAAACAGGUGAGAAGCUUGGCAUAUAUUGUGUUUCCCUCCAAGUGAAAGAAGAUUGGUUGCAAGGGAACUAUAAAACUAAACCAAGCAUCAACAGCGAUCAUCAUAAUUUCAAUUGAGAAAUUGUACGUGAUAACUGGACAAAGAAAAUUACAGAAGAUAAGCGUUUGCAAACAGUUUAGUGCUCGUGGUAUCAGUUUUAAGGAAAAGAUGUGCAACAAAAACAAGUGAAGUGAUCUUUAUGGCCUAAAAUUAGAUACGAAGAGUAAAAUAAGAAUAUUCAAUAAAUUUCUAGUUGGUUUCUCUGGAGUGUUGCAAAUUCAAAGGAAGCAUUGAAGGCAAGAAUUCAUUCUAUUGUAAGUAAAGUCGAAUUUUGUCUAAGUCCUACUGUAGUAGUGAAAGCGGAACUGUGGUAUUUUUUUUUUUUGAAAUGUAACUGUAAUAGUAGUCAGAGCAAUGUCGAAUUUUGUCUAAGUCCUACUGU